rnacentral:lncRNA from 1 species
GUUUAAUAUCAUUUCAACAGGAAAUUGUUUUUGAGAAAUACAAAAGGAGCACCAAAUUGGCAACAACAAUUCAUUGUUGAAUUUAUCUUCAUUUCCGUCAUACUUAAGUCAAUUACUACUAAUACACAACACCCAAUAAGAAAAACAAAUUAUUAGUGUUUUCUUAAUUCUUUCUUUUUCAUUUAUUUACUGGAGUGCGAAAUUUACCUCAAAGAGCUGAACUACUAUCAAUUCUUCUUCUUCUUCUUCUUCUUCUUCUACUUCUUCUUGGCAGAGUGAUUAGAUGUCUUAACACUGUUCAAAUUAACACUUUGAUAUGAUUUUUUCUCCAUCAAACUUUUUGACCAUUACUUUAAUAUUUUCUUCCAAAAUCACUAAUACAAUGUAUAAACCAAAUUAAUAUCUUAACUUCCAUUCCCACUCAAAAAGUGUCUAUAAUAUAAUAUAGAAUGGAAGGAUUAGUUAAUAUCAUAUUUGUCAUAGUUUACUUCCACUGACCAAUAUAUAAAAUCUUUUUGAUGGAGAAAUUAGAAUUGUCAGUAUAAAGCUGACCAGUAUAGAGAAUAAAUUAGUAACAAAAUGACAAUUGGCAACAACAAUAAGUAAUAGGUUGAUUUAACAGCUUAAGAACAGCCAGAUCAUAUGCUGGAUCAACACCUACGAUCUUCGCUUCCUUAGCUACGCUUUCUACCAAAUGGUUCUGCUAUUAAAUUAAUUAGAACUAAUAAGCUUACCAAUUAUAUUACUAUAGAUGAUAAGACAAAAAAUGAUGCUUUGAAGUCUUUGUCUUGCUGAAGUUCAAAGAGCUGAACAACUCUUAUCUUCAUCUUGCUUAAGUUCAUAAACUCUGAAAUUAAAGCACAGUAGCAGAGUUAGACGAAUAAACAAAAGAGGAAACAAAGAGAAGACGUAACAAUUAAAGCUU